AGAUAAUUCAACUCGGAGUGGACUUCAGACUUUGGAUCCUGGGCAGGAACAAGAUGCGGAAGAGCUUGAUUUAUUUAUUUCUCUGCAGACACCACUGAAAGAGGAAGCAUUUGAUGAAGCUGAUAACAUUAAUGGCAGACAAGUGGAUCUGAGGGUAUUUAAUUCCCGGCUCCUGGUGGUCUGGGCACAACCGAAAGGUCUGCAACAAGACCUUCCAAGCUUUGUCUCAGUACAAAGCUUGCACCCACGAAUGGAGUAGGCUCUGAUCCUGCCCUGCUGCCUGUUGCUCUGUUAUUCUAAGUUGGCAGCCGAGUGUGGAAACUUAAGAGGCCAGAGCCGGCAGGCAGAGGAGCUCUGGACACAGGAAACACACAGCUUUUGGACAGCUAAGUGUGACCCUGGGAGAAAACCAGCAAUAAGCACACCUCCACGGCCAACCAACAAUGAAGACUGACAUAGUUCCCAGAGCAGUUCUGAAAGAGAUGGUGCCCAGUGGAGUCUAGAGAGGCCUUACUUACCCUGCUGAACUGGAAUGCUUUUGUUAUCUACAAGAACCUUCAAGGAUUCCUCCAGAGUCUCCUCCUUUUAUGAAGCUGGACCUGCUACCUGUACCUGGGUGUCAUCUCACCUCCCAUCAUGCCCCUGUGUGCGUGGUAAUCAGUGUUUCCUCGGAGCAUCCGGGAGCUCCACCAGGCAACUCCCCCAGUGCAGGCACGCUGUGGGCACCCAGGCCACAUUUCCAAAUGAAGAAUGAAUUUACCAGCAAUAAAAACAGCAUAUCAAGUGAACUAUUCAGCCCCUUGCUUUGUCUACACCUCAAGCAAGCAAAGAGAAGUCUCUUUCCAGUACCUUCGUCAUGGUUCUGAUGCAGGAGGACCUCUGGCUUGGUGUGGAUAGAGUCCCCAGGGGGGAAGAAUGGUGAGAAGAGCAUUCGAGAUUUCCUCUGCUUCAGGAUAUGCUGAAGGAGUUCAUAGAGCACAUCGCCUGGAGAGAAAAAGGUACAAGAAGCGAAGAGAUGGGAUGCGUUGCUUAAGAGCUACGUUAACUGUGUUAACUAACAGAACGGAUUGUUGACCUUUGACAGGGAUAGGACACAGCGCCUAUUCCUAUGUAUGACUCUACAUGUCAGGGCUGUGUGGUUUUUUAAAAGUUCUUAUUUUAAGAUUUAGUUUAAGUUUGAUUUAGGUGCGUGUGGGCCAUGUGCAUAUGUGGGUGUUUGCAGAGGUCAGAAGCUGAUGCUGUCAAGUCGUGAUGCUGGACAGUGCACUUAGAGCUUGCUAAGUGAGUAGACGUUGGGACAAAUGUACUCAUAACUAAAUUAGUAACAAUUAUAAUAAUAAAGAAG
rnacentral:lncRNA from 1 species